rnacentral:lncRNA from 1 species
GCACGCGCCGCCACGCCUGACUGGUUUUUGUAUUUUUUUGGUGGAGAGGGGGUUUCGCUGUGUUGGCCGGGCUGGUCUCCAGCUCCUAACCGUGAGUGAUCUGCCAGCCUCGGCCUCCCGAGGUGCCGGGAUUGCAGACGGAGUCUCGUUCACUCAGUGCUCAAUGUUGUUGCCCAGGCUGGAGUGCAGUGGCGUGAUCUUGGCUAGCUACAGCCUCCACCUCCCAGCCGCCUGCCUUGGCCUCCCAAAGUGCCGAGAUUGCAGCCUCUGCCCGGCUGCCACCCCGUCUGGGAUGUGAGGAGCGUCUCUGCCUGGCUGCCCAUCGUCUGGGAUGUGAGGAGCCCCUCUGCCCGGCUGCCCACUCUGGGAAGUGAGGAGGGCCUCUUCCCCGCCGCCAUCCCGUCUAAGAAGUGAGGAGCGUCUCUGCCCGGCUGCCCAUCGUCUGAGAUGUGGGGAGCGCCUCUGCCCCGCCGCCCCAUCUGGGAUGUGAGGAGCGCCUCUGCCCGGCCGCAACCCCAUCUGGGAGGUGAGGAGCGUCUCUGCCCGGCUGCCCUGUCUGAGAAGUGAGGAGCCCCUCCACCUGGCAGCCACCCCAUCUGAGAAGUGAGGAUCCCCUCCGCCCGGCAGCCGCCCUGUCUGAGAAGUGAGGAGCGCCUCCGCCCGGCAGCCGCCCCGUCUGAGAAGUGAGGAGCCCCUCCGCCCGGCAGCCGCCCCGUCUGGGAAGUGAGGAGCGUCUCUGCCCAGCAGCCACCCCUCUGGGAGGGAGAUUUUUGGAUCCUAGGAAGAUUUCCUGCACACCUAGGUUAUAAGAGUAUUUACUAUUAUUUUCGUCUGGUACCUGUCUGUUUAGAUUUCUGAUCCAUUUGAAAUUUAUCCUGGUAAACAGUAUGAGAAACAGACUCAAUUUUAUAUUUUUUCAGAUGGCUAUUCAGUUGUCCCAAUUCUAUGUAUAUAAAAAUUCAAUUCCCCAUGCACACUUACCAAUUAAAAUUUAUUAACGUACUUGGUUCUAUUUCUAGACUUGAUUCUGUUUCAUUGGUCUACACGUUUAUGCACCAACACCACACUUUAAAUUACAGACGUUUUAUAAUAUAUUUUAAUAUUGGAUGGGGCUAACGCCCCACUCCACAUGGCACUAAAAUAUUUUCCAGUGAAAACUUUUAUUUAAGUAGAAUUAAGAUUACUCAGGCAU